rfam:Salmo salar isolate Sally breed double haploid chromosome ssa04, whole genome shotgun sequence.
AAUGAAAUGUACUGUAAAUCGCUCUGGAUAAGAGCGUCUACUAAAUGACUAAAA